rnacentral:misc_RNA from 1 species
GAAAUGCGAUAAGUAAUGUGAAUUGCAGAAUUCAGUGAAUCAUCGAAUCUUUGAACGCACCUUGCGCUCCUUGGUAUUCCUUGGAGCAUGCCUGUUUGAGUAUCAUGAAAUCUUCAAAGUAAAUCUUUUGUUAACUCAAUUGGUUUCUACUUUGGUAUUGGAGGUCUUUGCAGCUUCACACCUGCUCCUCUUUGUUCAUUAGCUGGAUCUCAGUGUUAUGCUUGGUUCCACUCGGCGUGAUAAGUUAUCUAUCGCUGAGGACACUGUAAAAGGUGGCCAAGGUAAAUGCAGAUGAACCGCUUCUAAUAGUCCAUUGACUUGGAGAAUACUUUUAUGAUCUGAUCUCAAAUCAGGUAGGACUACCCGCUGAACUUAAGC